GCGGGGGUACCCGAGCCAGGUCUAAAUGGGGUAAAAGGAGGGGCCAAACCCCAAGACAAGGGGGAGGACUUAAGAUCCUCUGGCGUAGGCCUUCGUGGGUUCAAAUCCCACCCCCCGCACCA
rnacentral:tRNA from 2 species